ensembl:lncRNA
GGAACGUUUUUCAGAGUUCUUGAACAGACUGAGAUACGUUUGGUGGGUGUGGCGGAGUGUGGCUUGAAGAAAUGAGUGACAUUUACAGCGAAGCGGCCAUGCUGACAGGGUUCCCCAACCCAUUUUUAAAACUUUGUUUCUGUUUAAUUGAACAUUGCAUUACCUUUUUUCGUACUGAACUCAGCCCUGAAGGACGACACACCACACCACUUGUUUUAACGGUUCUCUCUUCUACCUUCUCACGCUCUCCACCACUUUGUUCCAGGGUUCCAUGUCUUCUCCCUGGACCUCUUCAAUAUCCAGCUCUUGAACAUCAGACUCUAAGGCCUCAUCUUCACUGUCACUUUCCAACCUAGUUAAGGAUGGCUUGAUGUCAGGCUCAAAAAGCUUCAAAUUUGCCCGGCUGGCCACCAAUUGUUCAACCCUUGUAUUGGUCAGUCUGAGUGCUUGGGUGUGUGUGUUCCCAAACAAGGACCAGUUGCGCUCUGAGGCAGCUGAUGUUGGUGGGAUUUGGAGGGGGAUGGAGGCAACAGGGGAAAGAGCCUCAGAUCCACAAAGUCCCUUCCACCAGGUAGCUGAUGAGAUAUGUUGGCACCACUGCCAUUUUGCAUCUGCAUCCCGAUGCCCUUGCUUGGAAGUGUACUUUGCCAGACUGCCAAGAACCUUGCCCUCAUCCAGGCCAAAGUGGCGAGACACGGUAGUGAUGACACCAUAGGCCUUGUUGAUCUCUGCACCAGACAGGAUAUUCUUGCCAGCAUACGUGGCAUCCAACAUGCAUGCUGCGGCAUGUAUGAGCUUCAGGCAGAAGUCUUUUUGAUGUAUUUCAGAACUGCAGUUUCCUCUGCUUGGAGCAACAGUGAAGUGGGCAGGGCAGUACGAAUUUAUUCUCUUACAUCUGCAAGCAGAGUCUGAACAUCAGACAGGAUGGCAUUGUCUCCCUCAUCCGUGUAAUGGCUACUGCUAUAGGUUUCAGGAGUUUCAGGCUGCUUACCACUCUCCCAAAAUACAUCACCAGGUGGAUCCUCUUGAUGGGGCUGUCCUUACCUCUUGAUGGGGCUGUCCUUACCUCUUGAUGGGGCUGUCCUUACCUCUUGAUGGGGCUGUCCACCAUAUUGAUUUUUACUAUUUUAAAAUGGCUUUUGGCGAAUGUGUGGAUUUAAAACCAACUUUACCUCUGUCUUUUUAAUACCGUGGAUAAAAUGGGGUAUGCCAGGUGUAAUCUCUGCCUGAAAUAGAUCAAUUAUGCUAACAAAGGGUAUCAUGCUCUGCUGGCACAUUGUAGAACAGAUGUCCACAGGCAGAAAGUAUACAAUGUAAUAAAUGUGCAGUGUAGGCCAAAGAUAUUGCUUUAGUUGUGUUGAACUUGACAGUAACAUGAGAGUGAGGGGGGGAUUAUUGAAAUGUUUUACUAAGUGAAUGUUAUUUUUGCACAUGUAGCCUUGUGCACUUGAUCGAUAUCUAUAAUAGAGCAAAAAUAGAAUGCCUGUUUGUUUCAUUGUAUUUCUACUCCCCCCCCUCCCUAAGGGUGUGUGGUCACAAGCAUUCUAUUAUAAAAGCCUUCAUGGCUAACUGCAAUAUUAGUGUAUUGUUCUUUCUCAAGACUUGUCAUUUUCAGUAAAGUCUAGGCAACAAAUAACAUUGGAUUGCUUUCGUUACAUUUUUUUAGCUGUGAGUUGGGUUCAUAUGAACCACUUUUUUAUUUUACACACCGAGACUGAUCAUGUAGAUCAUAUUCUUUGUUGUUUAAUUAGAGCAGAGAUGUUUCGCAUGUUUCAGUGGGCCCUCACCAGUUUGCUUCCCUGUAUAUUUACCAAUACCAUAUGUUGGUGUAGAGAAUCAUGCAUGUAGUAAAAAAAAAUAAAAAGGAAUUAGUGCAGGUGCAAAAAUAAGUGAACCCAAGUUGCAUUGGUUAAAUUAAGUAGUUAAGUAGAAUCAGGUGGGUAAAUAAUUUGAUACCAAAUGAACCAAUCAAAGGAGAGAUCGUUUGGGCGGGACUCUGAUAGAGGUAAGAAACUUGGUCAGUUUGGUGUUACCCAUCCAGGUGAAUACAAUGCACACCAUGCCGAGAGGAAAGGAGAUCUCAGAGGACAUCAGUCUGGGGAAGGCUAUAAAAUCAUCUCAAAAAGAUAUGAGCUUCAUCAGUCCACUGUCAGGUAAAUAAUUUACAAAUGGAGAGCAUUUAACAUGUCAGCAACUCGGCUUAGAAGUGGACGCCCUUCCAAAAUAUCCCCAAGAGCCACAAGAACAAUAAUAAAUAGGGUAAAAACCAACCCAAACAUAACAUCUAUAGAUUUGCAGACUUCCCUUGUUGCAGCUCAGGUGACAAUAAGAAUAACACGGAAUUGAAAUGCCAUUCAUGGGAUGGUUGCUAAGAAGAAGCCUCUGCUAUCAAAGAACCAAACUGCCCAUCUUAAGUUUGCCAGAGACCACCUGGACAAACCUGAAGGUUUCUGGAAGUCUCUGGGCCGACGAGUCCAAAAUGGACCUUUUUUGGAUUGGCCAAGCCAAAGUCCUGACCUAAAUCCAAUCGAGAUACUGUGGCAGGACCUGAAGCGGGCAGUUCAUGCCAGACACCCCUUAAACCUGUAAGGAAGAGUGGGCAAAAAUCAUGAGACUGAUUACUGGCUAUAGGAGAUGUUUACUCCAAGUUAUCACUGCUAAUGGAGGUGCCACAAGCUAUUGACUGAAGGAGGUCACAUUUUUGCACAUCAAAUCUGAGUUUCUGUUAAACUACUUUUGUUCAAUAAACAAUAUAAAUAUAUAUAUAUAUAUUCAUUUUUACUUGGAAUGUCGGUAUUAUGAUUUAGGGUUUCGAUAAGGAUUUAGUUUAUUUUGGUAUUUUAUAACAAAUAAUGACCAGCACUGUAUGUUAUUUAUUUUUAUUUUUAUCUGGCUUUGUUGGUGCUUCCAUAUGGUCUAUUUCUGAUAAGCUACCCAGGACAGGACUGAAAACAGCCCAUAUUAAUAUAUGUAACCUUAGAAAUAAGGUUCAUGAAGUCAAUAACUUGCUAACAUCAGAUGUUUAAAAAAAAAAAAACUUUAUUUAACUUGGCAAGUCAGUUAAGAACAAAUUCUUAUUUACAAUGACUGCCUACCCCGGCCAAACCCUAACCCGGAUGACUUGGGCCAAUUGUUUGCCACCCUAUGGGACUCCCAAUCACAGCCUGGAAUCGGUCUGUAGUGAUACCUCUAGCACUGAGAUGCAGUGCCUUAGACCGCUGUGCCACUUGGGAGCCCAAAUAAGAUGAGAAGAUUCAUAUAAUAGCCAUUUCUGAGACUCACUUAGAUAAUUAAUUUGAUGAUAUAGCAAUAAAAGGAUAUAACAUCUAUAGAAGAGACAGGAAUGCUUAUGGGGAGGUGUUACUGUAUAUAUAUUCAGAGCCAUAUCUCUGUAAUGCUUACAGAAGAUGUUAUGUCAAGUGUUGAUGAGGUGUUGUAAUUGUAAUUGGUUAAACAAGUUUUUCCAACAGUAUGCUAAGAGCUGGCAGCACGCUGAUAGGCCUGCUGUUAGAACCAGUAAAGGCCACUUUACCACUCUUGGGUAGCGGAAUUACUUUGGCUUCCCUCCAGGCCUGACGACAAAGACUUUCCUCUAGGCUCAGAUUAAAGAUAUGACAGAUGGGAGUGGCUAUAGAGUCAGCUUCCAUCCUCAGUAGCUUUCCAUCUACGUUGUCAAUGCCAGGAGGUUUGUCAUUAUUGAUUGAUAACAAAAAAAAAAAAUCCAAAGUGGGCAAACAUAGGCAGAAAAUGCCAACAAGGAACAGUGAGCCAUCGUACUCAUGCAUACAAAAACAAAUAAUGAAAGAAAAGCAUUGUAAAUUUACAUUUUGUAAAGUUAGUGCGGAAGAGGUGGAAAAAUUGUUAUUGAUCAAUAAUGACAAAUCUCCUGGCAUUGACAACUGAGGUAGCUGACUCUAUAGCCAUUCCUAUCUGAGCAUAGAGGAAAGUAUUUGUCCUCAGGCCUGGAGGGAAGCCAAAGUCAUUCCGCUACCCAAGAGUGGUAAAGCGGCCUUUACUGGUUCUAACAGCAGACCUGCCAGUUCUUAGUAUACUGUUGGAAUUUUCUUUUGACCAAUUACAAUGCUAUUUCUCUGUAAACAAAGGAACAACAGACUUUUAGCAUGCUUAGAGAGAAGGGCACUCCACAUGUACUGCACUGACACACAUGACUGAUGAUUGGUUAAAAUAAAUUGAUAAUAAGAAGAUUGUGGGAGCUCUACUGUUAUUUCAGUGCAGCCUUUGAUAUUAUUGACCAUAACCUGUUGUUGAGAACUUGUGACUUUUCAACCUCUGCCAUAUCGUGGAAUCAAAUCAAACUUUGUCACAUGCACCGAAUACAACCGGUGUAGACCUUACCAUGAAAUACUUACUUACAAGCCCUUAACCAGCAAUGCAAUUCAAGAAAGAGUUAAGAAAAUAUUUACCAAACUAACAAAAGUAAUACAAUACAGUAUCGAGGCUAUAUUCAUAGGGUACUGAGCCAAUGUGCG